GAAACCAGAUGUCAUGAGCUUAACAGAAUCUGCAAUUACAUCUGACACCUUGAUGCCUUCCUUUCCUUUGGAACUUUCUUUCUUCUGUGGCAGCAGUCAGAAGCUUCCCCAAGGAGGGUGGAUGCUGAGGUGUGUCUGCUGCUGCCUUCUAGUCCACUUGAGCUGCACUGGCCAUGACAUAUUUCAGCAGAACUCUCCACAGCGGGUUCUCGUGCAGAAGCUGUGGGCCUGGGGCAGCCUCUUGCUUGGAAGGCAGGCCCUCUGCUCAUGUACUGCAAGCGGGGAUGACAGUGGGGCAGAAGGCAAGAAGAAAACACAAACAGGUUGGGACCAGCUGCCUGAGGCCUGA
rnacentral:lncRNA from 1 species